rnacentral:misc_RNA from 1 species
AACGCACAUUGCGCCCCGUGGUAUUCCGCGGGGCAUGCCUGUUCGAGCGUCAGUACAACACUCAAGCUCUGCUUGGUAUUGGGCCCCGUCCGUCUGGACCGGCCUUAAAAUCAGUGGCGGUGCCAUCGGGCUCUAAGCGUAGUAAUACUCCUCGCUACAGGGUCCCGGUGCGUGCUGGCCAGCAACCCCCAACUUUCUAAGUUUGACCUCGGAUCAGGUAGGGAUACCCGCUGAACUUAA